rnacentral:tRNA from 1 species
UGGUCGGGAUAGCUCAGUUGGUAGAGCAGAGG